rnacentral:piRNA from 1 species
UAGUGAGUCAGUUCACAAACCAGGAUGUGA